rfam:Helianthus annuus linkage group 11, whole genome shotgun sequence.
UAGCUAUGUAAUGAGCACAAAGCGAACUAUUCUUUCGCCUUUUACUAAAGAAUACCGUGUGCUCGUUGCGCUAAAAUAGCAUACGCCUAUUUUUGGAGAGCUCCUUUCUUUUUGAAAAGAC